AAGUAUUUCAUCAUCAUUCACAUUGUCGACGAGUCCGGUCAAAAUCUCUGCGCCUUCCCCUCCUCCUCCUAUUAAGCUUUCCCCUCUCCGUCUGCCUUCCCUGUUCUUCUCCCUCCUUCCUCCUCUGCUCGCACUCACGUCUCUCUUUAGCUCUGAAUCACCAGGAAUCUCAACAAACCCCCGAUGGGUUCUUCCAAGGAAGAGAGAUUCACCAGGAUAUUAAGGGGUCUCAAGACUCUGUUCUUCUUGAUCACCAUGCUCAUAUCGCUCUUGCUUUUCUCGGCUCCUCUUCUUCUUGUUCUCGCCGACGCGCUUCUUCCUUCGGCUCUGCUCUCUGCGCUCUCACCUUCUUCUCUCUCCCUAGAAACUCUUUCUUCUCACUUCCGUGACUACGAUUUCCGAUACUCCCUCAUCGAUAUUCCCCUCGUGUCCAUCAUAAGAUCCCUCGUCAUCUUCUGUGUUUAUAGUUUCUGCGAUGGGCCAAGGCUUUCGCGGGGGCCAUAUUUGGGGAUCACGACGAUGUGCUCUGUCUCGUCUCUGAUUUUUGUGUCGCUGAAAGCUGUGUAUGUUUUCAGUCUCUCAGAUUCGUAUGGAGGAGGAAGCCAUAUGCGAACCUCCGAAAUAGCUCUGUUCGUGUGCUCGUGUGCUUUGGCUAUUGGGCAUAUUGCCGUGGCUUACAAAACAAGUUGCAGAGAAAGACGAAAGCUCCUGGUGUACAAAAUUGACGUUGAAGCUGUUUCAGCUUGCAAGAGGUACCCAAGAUCCUUAAAGAAGAACGAUUCAACUGAUCCCACCCAAGCCCACAGAAUAUUAAGAGUAAAUAUUAGUUGAAUAUAUACAGAGAUAGAGAUUUUGAACUCCUAGCUUCAAAAUUGUCACGUUGUAUUCUUCAGUGCUUCAAGGGAUGAUCAGGUUUGUCCGAAGGAUAGCUGGGUCAUCACCUUGACACUGAAGGGUAAAGGCUAACACUAGAGUUACAGGAUAUAGUCACAGAGAAUUGUGCAGAGUCGCCAAGAUACAUCAAAUUGCAGAUUGGUGAUUGAGUAGAUGUAUAUACUAUAGAGCCACUCCAUAGUAGGCCCUCAUACAAGUACAUAUUUUUUGGAUUUUCAUCAGUUUCGUCUCGUGUAUAUUAUAUGUCAAAGUGAAAUGGGCCAUGCUCUCAGUAUCAACCUGACAAGUUGUAAUUUAUUAUCAUGAAUGGUUGAAAUUAGGAUUUCAGUGUCCAAGUGGGGUGAUGAAGAGGACCCCAAUCUGUUGAAAGUAUAAUCUUGAAAUAUCAGAUUCCACCUAACUGGUUUCAAUCUUGAAAUAUAAAUUUAAUCUUGCCAGUGACCCAUUA